AUUGCCCCAGUAACGGCGAGUGAAGCGGCAACAGCUCAAAUUUGAAAUCUGGCUCUCGGGCCCGAGUUGUAAUUUGUAGAGGAUGCUUUUGGUGAGGUGCCUUCCGAGUUCCCUGGAACGGGACGCCAUAGAGGGUGAGAGCCCCGUCUGGUUGGACGCCGAACCUCUGUAAAGCUCCUUCGACGAGUCGAGUAGUUUGGGAAUGCUGCUCUAAAUGGGAGGUAUAUGUCUUCUAAAGCUAAAUACCGGCCAGAGACCGAUAGCGCACAAGUAGAGUGAUCGAAAGAUGAAAAGAACUUUGAAAAGAGAGUUAAACAGUACGUGAAAUUGUUGAAAGGGAAGCGCUUGUGACCAGACUUGGGCUUGGUUGAUCAUCCGGGGUUCUCCCCGGUGCACUCUUCCGGCCCAGGCCAGCAUCAGUUCGCCCUGGGGGACAAAGGCAUCGGGAACGUGGCUCUCUCCGGGGAGUGUUAUAGCCCGUUGCGUAAUACCCUGCGGCGGACUGAGGUUCGCGCAUUCGCAAGGAUGCUGGCGUAAUGGUCAUCAGUGACCCGUCUUGAAACACGGACCAAGGAGUCGUCUUCGUAUGCGAGUGUUCGGGUGUCAAACCCCUACGCGAAAUGAAAGUGAACGCAGGUGAGAGCUUCGGCGCAUCAUCGACCGAUCCUGAUGUUAUCGGAUGGAUUUGAGUAAGAGCAUACGGGGCCGGACCCGAAAGAAGGUGAACUAUGCCUGUGUAGGGUGAAGCCAGAGGAAACUCUGGUGGAGGCUCGCAGCGGUUCUGACGUGCAAAUCGAUCGUCAAACAUGGGCAUGGGGGCGAAAGACUAAU
rnacentral:rRNA from 2 species